UACAGAGGGUGCAAGCGUUAUUCGGAAUUACUGGGCGUAAAGCGCAUGUAGGCGGGUAGGAAAGUCAGAUGUGAAAGCCCCGGGCUCAACUUGGGAAUUGCAUUUGAAACUUCUUAUCUUGAGAUUGGGAGAGGAUGGUAGAAUUCCUAGUGUAGAGGUGAAAUUCGUAGAUAUUAGGAGGAAUACCUGAGGCGAAGGCGGCUAUCUGGCCCAAGACUGACGCUCAGAUGCGAGAGCGUGGGUAG
rnacentral:rRNA from 1 species